rnacentral:rRNA from 1 species
UACGUAGGGUGCGAGCGUUAAUCGGAAUUACUGGGCGUAAAGCGUGCGCAGGCGGUGAUGUAAGACAGGUGUGAAAUCCCCGGGCUCAACCUGGGAACUGCAUUUGUGACUGCAUCGCUGGAGUGCGGCAGAGGGGGAUGGAAUUCCGCGUGUAGCAGUGAAAUGCGUAGAUAUGCGGAGGAACACCGAUGGCGAAGGCAACCCCCUGGGCCUGCACUGACGCUCAUGCACGA